AUCUGACCGUAAACGAUACCAACUAGCGUUCCGCUGGCGGUAAAUACGCCUUGGCGGGCAGCUUUCCGGAAACGAAAGUGUUUCGGUUCCGGGGGAAGUAUGGUUGCAAAGCUGAAACUUAAAGAAAUUGACGGAAGGGCACCACCAGGAGUGGAGCCUGCGGCUUAAUUUGACUCAACACGGGAAAACUCACCUGGCCCGGACACCGUGAGGAUUGACAGAUUGAGAGCUCUUUCUUGAUUCGGUGGUUGGUGGUGCAUGGCCGUUCUUAGUUGGUGGAGUGAUUUGUCUGGUUUAUUCCGAUAACGAGCGAGACUCUAGCCUAUUAAAUAGUCAACGGAUAGAUUGGUCCGUGUCGACUUCUUAGAGGGACAAGCGGUGUUCAGCCGCAUGAAGUUGAGCAAUAACAGGUCUGUGAUGCCCUUAGAUGUCCAGGGCUGCACGCGCGCUACACUGGAGGAAUCAACGUGCCGUAUCCAUUGCCGAAAGGCAUUGGUAACCCCUUGAAAAUCCUCCGUGCUCGGGAUCGGGAAUUGAAAUUAUUUCCCUUGAACGAGGAAUUCCUAGUAAGUGUGAGUCAUCAGCUCACGUUGAUUACGUCCCUGCCCUUUGUACACACCGCCCGUCGCUGCCCGGGACUGAGCCGUUUCGAGAAACGCGGGGACCGAUCACAUGAAAUCUUGACCUCGUGUCUGUUGGAUUGUCGGUCUGGGAACCGCUUUAAUCGCAGUGGCUUGAAACCA
rnacentral:rRNA from 1 species